AACUUUCAACAACGGAUCUCUUGGCUCUCACAUCGAUGAAAAACGCAGCGAAAUGCGAUAAGUAAUGUGAAUUGCAGAAUUCAGUGAAUCAUCGAAUCUUUGAACGCAAAUUGCGCCCUUUGGUAUUCCGAAGGGCAUGCCUGUUUGAGUGUCUU
rnacentral:rRNA from 1 species